AAGGAAAGUAAAAAAGGGCGCAUGGCGGAUGCCUUGGCUCUCGGAGGCGAUGAAGGACGUGAUAAGCUGCGAUAAGCUUUGGGGAGGUGCAAAUGACCUUUGAUCCAGAGAUUUCCGAAUGGGACAACCCAAUAUCUUGAAGAGGUAUUAUCUUACUAUGUAAGAGGCUAACGCAGGGAACUGAAACAUCUUAGUACCUGCAGGAAAAGAAAAUAAACAAUGAUUCCCCCAGUAGUGGCGAGCGAACGGGGAACAGCCCAAACCAUCCAUGUUACGGCAUGGGUGGGGUUGUAGGACUACGCCGUUGCAUGAAGACAUCAGAGAAGAACUUUCUGGAAAGAAAGACCAUAGAGCAUGACAGUUGCGUAUUCGAAUGUUGUCGAAGCAUAGUAGUAUCCUGAGUAGCGCGGAGCACGAGGAAUUCUGCGUGAAUCUGCCGGGACCAUCCGGUAAGGCUAAAUACUCCCGAGAGACCGAUAGCGAACCAGUACCGUGAGGGAAAGGUGAAAAGCACUUCGAACAGAAGAGUGAAAUAGUUCCUGAAACCGUGCGCCUACAAGCGGUCGGAGCUCGUUAAUGAGUGACGGCGUGCCUUUUGCAUAAUGAACCUACGAGUUGCCUUUGCCGGCAAGGUUAAGUGUGACGACACACGUAUCCGAAGCGAAAGCGAGUCUGAACAGGGCGUAUAGUCGGCAGUGGCAGACGCGAAACCAAGUGAUCUACCCUUGGCCAGGUUGAAGGCUGGGUAACACCAGCUGGAGGACCGCACCAAUAAGCGUUGAAAAGCUUCUGGAUGAGCUGAGGGUAGGGGUGAAAGGCUAAUCAAACUUGGAGAUAGCUCGUACUCCCCGAAAUGCAUUUAGGUGCAGCCUUGCGGGUUACUGAUGUGAGGUAGAGCGACUGAUAAGAUGCGAGGGCUUCACCGCCUAUCAAGUCUUGACAAACUCCGAAUGCGCAUCAGUUCUACCGCAGGAGUGAGGGCAUGGGUGCUAAGGUCCGUGCCCGAGAGGAGAAGAAUCCGGACCACCUGCUAAGGUCCCGAAAUGACAGCUAAGUUAAACUAACGAAGUCUGACUGCUAAGACAGCUAGGAUGUUGGCUUGGAAGCAGCCAUUCAUUUAAAGAGUGCGUAACAGCUCACUAGUCGAGGAGUCGGGCGUGGAUAAUAAUCGGGUAUCAAGUUGUCUACCGAAGCAGUGGGAUCAUUUAUAUGAUCGGUAGGGGAGCAUUCCAGUCAGCGUCGAAGGCGUACCGUGAGGUAUUCUGGAGCGUCUGGAAAAGCAAAUGUAGGUAUAAGUAACGAUAAAGGGGGCGGGAAACCCCCUCGCCGAAAGACUAAGGUUUCCUGAUCAACGCUAAUCGGAUCAGGGUCAGUCGGGUCCUAAGGCUCAGCCGAACGGCGAUGCCGAUGGCAGAAACGGUUAAUAUUCCGUUACUACCUUCAGGAGUGACGUGGAGACGCAGUAGUGACAGUGCCGCCAUCUGACGGAAUAGAUGGUUGAAGGGUGUAGGAGUCGAUCAUGGCAGGCAAAUCCACCAUGAGAUCCGAACCUGACAGUAUGCCGCGUCCUUCGGGACAAGGCAAUAGUGCGCGUAAGCAUGCUGCCGAGAAAAUCCGCUAAACUUAAUCCUGCAGGUACCCGUACCGCAAACGGACACACGUAGUCGGGAUGAAUAUUCUAAGGCGCUUGAGUGAUUCACGGUUAAGGAACUAGGCAAACUGACCCUGUAACUUCGGGAUAAAGGGUCCCUACCCUUUUAUGGGAGGGCGCAGAGAAUCGGUCCAGGCAACUGUUUAACAAAAACACAGGGCUGUGCCAAAUCGAAAGAUCCAGUAUACAGCCUGACACCUGCCCGGUGCUGGAAGGUUAAGAGGAGAUGUCAUCGAUAAGAGAAGCGUUGAAUUGAAGCCCCAGUAAACGGCGGCCGUAACUAUA
rnacentral:rRNA from 1 species